rnacentral:rRNA from 1 species
AACGAACGCUGGCGGCAUGCCUAACACAUGCAAGUCGAACGGGAUCAUAGCUUGCUAGGUGAGAGUGGCGGACGGGUGAGUAACACGUGGGAAUCUGCCUUUUGGUUCGGGAUAACCGCGGGAAACUGCGGCUAAUACCGAAUGCCCUCGAGAGAGGAAAGAUUUAUCGCCAGAAGAGGAGCCCGCGUCCGAUUAGGUAGUUGGUGGGGUAAAGGCCUACCAAGCCGACGAUCGGUAGCUGGUCUGAGAGGAUGAUCAGCCACACUGGGACUGAGAUACGGCCCAGACUCCUACGGGAGGCAGCAGUGGGGAAUAUUGGACAAUGGGGGCAACCCUGAUCCAGCAAUGCCGCGUGAGUGAUGAAGGCCUUAGGGUUGUAAAGCUCUUUUGCCAGGGAAGAUGAUGACUGUACCUGGAGAAUAAGCCCCGGCUAACUUCGUGCCAGCAGCCGCGGUAAU